GAGGUUAUGGCUCAGUGGUAGAGCAUGGGCUUAGCAUGCACGAGGUCCUGGGCUCAAUCCCAGCACCUCCA
rnacentral:tRNA from 1 species